rnacentral:rRNA from 1 species
AAAACUUUCAACAACGGAUCUCUUGGUUCUGGCAUCGAUGAAGAACGCAGCGAAAUGCGAUAAGUAAUGUGAAUUGCAGAAUUCAGUGAAUCAUCGAAUCUUUGAACGCA